AGGCCGUCAAAGCUGUAUCUCGAAACUGCGAAAUGUUGCUCGUCGGAGCUUGACAAAUUGGUCUUUCAAUAGCAACAGAGUUGUAGUAGUAGUAGUUGUUGUUGUUGUUGCUGGUGAUGUUGCUGUUGUUGUUUUUGGGUACCUCUACUUAGAACCUCUUUAGACGCGGUUCACAGACAUUCUCGCAGUUUGUGUUUGUGUGUUUUGCUCGAGAGGAUCUGCAUUGUAUCUGUGGUGUUUGUUAGUGCAUUGUGAAUUUGGUUCUUUACUAUUUUACAUGCGCACAAAGGAUCUGCUAAAACCAACGACUGCUACUGGAUUAUGAUGUGUUGUAGUUUGUGUUUUUGUGUUGGUUUAUUUCGUUUUGUAUGAGAAGGGAAUGACGCUCUUCCUGGAGUUGGUGUAUGAAAUGAUCAUAUGUGGUGAUUUCUGGACUUCACCUAGACGAGGUCUUAGAUUUGGAUGUAUCUUGUGGUCAGAUUCACGAGGAUUGAGCGUUAGAGUUUUACUUAGGAGGUGCUCAUCUCUGGCUCAUCUCUGCAAACUGUGGUGUAGCACAUCCCAUAGUGUUUCUCUAACACUGGGCACGGGUUGUUCUCAACUGAUCAAAACGUGGAGCUUUUAUGCAUUUUAAUUGAAGACCUUAGCACAGAAUUUUUCCUUCAGUGAACUGGAAGGAUCUCCUACUUUGCACACACUGAUAACCUUAAGGCACAACACCAACAGCACCAGCCGCUCAUGCAAGAUGAAGCUAUUUUUCCACUACCAUACAAACCUACACUAAAGUGCAUUUUAUUGUUGGAGAUUAUUGAACAUACUGGUGGUGUUUGGCAGCUACUACUGAUAAUUUUUUUAAUAUGCUAAUGGUCAAGAAGUUAAAAUCCAUGGGACUAAGAAAGAUGUACCGUCAUAUCAAUCAUUGAUGGAUUAUAUUGCCUGCUUCACUUCGACUUUUAAGCACCUUUUAUGCGUUGUGAGAGAGUGAUUCCAACUCCAGUCUGCUUGCAGGUGCUUCUCUCAUUGAGGACUCGCCACCAGUGUAUAUACUUUGCGAAGUCUAGUGAAGUCGGGUUGAGAAAUAGAAAAUAGAGAACACGAUUUGUAAAGUUUUUGGUAGAAUUUAAAUUCAUUGUACAAUCAUGUUGAAUUACACAGUCUUAUCAUGGACAGAGUUCAACAUCAAGUUGACAGGAAUGCAGAGUUGUCCACUUUCUCCUGCACCUUUGUAUUGUGACUCCUGUACCUUCACUUCGGAGACUGCAAUUAACUGGUUGGGUGCUUCUGAGGUAUCAGGGCUUCUAUAAUACAUUCUCUAUAGGCUUGUAAA